rnacentral:rRNA from 1 species
UCGGGAAUAUUGCGCAAUGGAGGAAACUCUGACGCAGUGACGCCGCGUGCAGGAAGAAGGUUUUCGGAUUGUAAACUGCUUUAGACAGGGAAGAAACAAGACAGUACCUGUAGAAUAAGCUCCGGCUAACUACGUGCCAGCAGCCGCGGUAAUACGUAGGGAGCGAGCGUUAUCCGGAUUUAUUGGGUGUAAAGGGUGCGUAGACGGGAGAACAAGUUAGUUGUGAAAGCCCUCGGCUUAACUGAGGAACUGCAACUAAAACUAUUUUUACUUGUAGUACUGGAGAGGAAAGUGGAAUUCCUAGUGUAGCGGUGAAAUGCGUAGAUAUUAGGAGGAACACCAGUGGCGAAGGCGACUUUCUGGACAGAAAACUGACGUUGAGGCACGAAAAGUGUGGGGAGCAAACAGGAUUAGAUACC